UUUUGGAAUUGUUUUUUUUUUUUUUUUUUUUUAAUUUUUAUUUUGUAAUGAUCAAAUAUAGAUUUAGAUUUCUUUUCUAUGUGCAUUGUACACUGUUAUCAUUAGUCCUGGCGUGUUUAUAUAGAUCUAGUAUUGAAUUGUCAGUUGCAAGCUCAAAGGGAGAUAACCUCUUAUAUAACCAUUUGCAAAAGGAACAAAACUUCAAAAAGUGUCUGUGAAAUUAUGUCCCCUCUAUUUUACUGUUUGAUACAAAGGAAAUCUAAAGAUAAAAUUGAUUCCCAGUUGACAGAAUUAUAUUAUGUUUCCCAUUUUCCCACUAAUAUCUGAAUUGUUUGUAGACUGUUUGUAGUUAGCAAACUUUGUUUUGUUGUCAUUUAAAUGAUUUUACCAUUUUGUACUUUUGUAUGAACUCGUCAGUAUUUGUAGAUCUACUGGAAUGAAACGAACCAAAUAUUUCUAC